ensembl:lincRNA
AAAGCAAAUCUGGGGACGGGUGUUGAUUUUAAAAGAGAAGGAAAGAAGAGCUAGUUGCUCACUGCAGGUUCUCCUGGCUCGGCGGUGCGGAGGCAAAGGCCUGUUUCUGCAAAGACUUUGAGGACCCAUGACUCUUCCUCAACCUCCAGACCGCUGGAGGUCCCUGAUAGUUGAAUAAGCUAAGAGCAGUGUGCCCGCCUAGUUCUUUCCUGGAAGAUGAAACGCAGCUCCCGAGUCGGGAGACGGAAGAAUGGAUAAACAUUCCUCAAUUGCUGUUGAUAGGUUCUCACCCCAGAACCCGGGCAGUCGGCCUCAUGCUCCAGAGUGCAGGUCCCGUAAGGUACCCAAGGGGAGCCGUCAAUUAGAGCCGUGCUUGAGCCUAAGGCUGACCUGAACCGUUUGAAGGCAGAUCUUCCAUGGAGCGCCCCGGUACUACUUCAUUUCCAGGAAUCUUAAUUACAAGGCAUUACUCUGAUGGAUUGAAUGUAUUAAGUAGCCUCAAUUCACCCCAGUUUGCAGCCCUUUGGGAGGCGGCUCCCGUCCCAUCAUUUUCUGUCCCCCUUUGCUGCCCCAGUGCCAUGGCACCCGGAGGGCUUUGUUCCAAACCAACUUUGAGUCGUGAGUAUUAUCUGAAGCCCCUCCCUUGCCUGGAGGCCUUUCAGAAACUACUUUAUCUCUUGCAGGUCCUUUUCUGGAAAGGUCAAAGGGACGAGAGGGGUCUCUGCAGUGUCCUGGAUCUGGUUUCAACCUCACCUUCUCCAUGUAUGAGAAAACAAGUCACUUGGAUUCACUGUGCCUCGGUUUCCCCAGAUGGCGAGCAGGACUCAGUCUUUUGCACCUGGUCCAUCAGAGGACAAGCUUUCAUGUGUUAG